AACGAACGCUGGCGGCGCGCCUAAUACAUGCAAGUCGAGCGAGAAGACGUAGCAAUACGUUUGUAAAGCGGCGAACGGGUGAGGAAUACAUGGGUAACCUACCCUCGAGUGGGGAAUAACUAGCCGAAAGGUUAGCUAAUACCGCGUACGCUCCUUGGACUUCGGUUCAGGGAGGAAAGCGAUACCGUGGGUAUCGCGCUCUUGGAUGGGCUCAUGUCCUAUCAGCUUGUUGGNGAGGUACGC
rnacentral:rRNA from 1 species